AUCCUUCAGUUCGUGAAGAUGAUGAUUGGGUGUUCAUGCCAUAUGCAUGAGAUGUGCCUCCCUCAACCCUUGUUAGGACAUCGGCACACUACCCAUCUGAUG
ensembl:snoRNA